GGCCAUUCGAGUGCGGUUCGAUGAGCCCAACCUCCCACCCGUGUCUACCGUUACCGCGUUGCUUCGGCGGGCCCACUGGGGCCUCGCCCCGGUCGCCGGGGGGGUUCUGCCCCCGGGCCCGCGCCCGCCGAAGCGCCCUGGAACCCUGUCUGAACAGUGAGUCUGAGUGUGAGAUUGAAUCAUUAAAACUUUCAACAACGGAUCUCUUGGUUCCGGCAUCGAUGAAGAACGCAGCGAAAUGCGAUAAGUAAUGUGAAUUGCAGAAUUCCGUGAAUCAUCGAAUCUUUGAACGCACAUUGCGCCCCCUGGCAUUCCGGGGGGCAUGCCUGUCCGAGCGUCAUUUCUGCCCUCCAGCACGGCUGGGUGUUGGGCGCUGUCCCCCCGGGGACACGCCCCAAAGGCAGUGGCGGCGCCGCGUCGGGUCCUCGAGCGUAUGGGGCUCUGUCACCCGCUCGGGAGGGACUCGGUCGGCGCUGGUCUUCCCCCAGGCGGCCCUUUCGGGCUCGUCUCUUUCCGGUUGACCUCGGAUCAGGUAGGGCUACCCGCUGAACUUAAGCAUAUCAA
rnacentral:rRNA from 1 species